GCAAGUCGAACGAUGAAGAAAAGAAUUGAAGCUUCGGCAGAAAUUCAUUUCGGAUUAGUGGCAGACGGGUGCGUAACGCGUGAGCAACCUACCUCUUACCAAGGGAUAGCCUCGGGAAACCGGGAUUAAUCCCAUAUAACAUUGCGACGAAGCAUUUCGAUGCAAUCAAAGCUACGGCGGAAAGAGAUGAGCUCGCGGCCCAUUAACCGGAUGGUGAGGUAACGGCUCACCGUAGUAACGAUGGGUAACCGGCCUGAGAGGGUGAAC
rnacentral:rRNA from 1 species